ACACUCAAUGGAGGAGGGAGCGGAGGGGCUGCUGCAGGCUUCAGCCGCCGCCUUCACCGGGCAGCGCGGAGCGGGAGCGCCGGGGCGCGGCGGUGUCGGGUGCGCUCCUUCCCGGCUGCUUUGAAACUCGGUGAUCUGAUGAGAUGAAGGUCACUGAAAUUUCCUUCCUUUUCCCUCUGCUUUGGAAAUGACUUCUGUCUUAAGGCCCUGGAGGGUGAAGCUCUUCUAACUCAAGACAAAGGUUCUUCACAUGAGAGAUUAAUCCGUUUCCCCGUAAUUAAAUAAACAACACUCUCUACGUGGCUAUAUAGAAUAAACUAAAAUGAAGAAAGAACAUGUUGUGGAAAAUAUGGAGAAGUACAACUAGAGAAGUGCAACGUACUUCAGCAGAAUCCAGGCAUUAGCAUCUCCAAGGAGUCUUCUGGGCAGUGACAAUAGUGGGAUGCAGACCCAAGCUGGCCUGGAUUUACACCCUUGGUCCCCUGGAGAAAUCAUUGGGUGGUUGUUUAAAGCUGGUACAGCAUUGAAUACAGCAGAGGAGCCUUGACCUUUAUUUGUAAGCAUGGAAUUCAGAAGUUUAAUUUUAGUAAAUUUGUACCGUGCUCAAAAUAAACCAAGAGGUAGUUCCACAAACGGGUUCAAAUGCAGGAACUGCUGUUGUGAUGGAGCUCUGGAUGUCCCUUUCAGUACCAUCACCUGGCAUUUGAAAGCUUGUCAUGAUGGUGAAGAGUGCUGAAAUAGAUUCGAGAGAGAAGCAAAGAGCAUUUCAUCAGCUGUCUCACACCAGUGCCGUGCAGCGCACACAGCCCUCAUCUGAGCUGGUGUGAAGUGGCAUCAUCUCCUACCUCAGGCUCACCCAGCACUGAGAUAGGGAGAACACCGAGGUGCUGGAAUGAAGCUGUGCUGAAUCAUGGCCUGGGAAAUCCCUGCUUUGUCCUAUGGAAGUCACCGAGCAGAUUUAUUUGGAGAUGAGAACAAAUGAGCACGUCAGCAGAAGUUAUUGUGGCAAUUUGUGAAAGCCUUAAUGGAAUGUUUUCUGAGCUCACAGAGGAGAGCUGUGCCAUUAAAUUGCUGCACAAUAAUUUUACUU
rnacentral:lncRNA from 7 species